AUUUUUCAGUGAACUUGCUUUAGUGAUACCAAGGCAGCUCUUGCAUUUCUUUUCCAUGAGCACUCAAACAAUUGAGUUUUCCUGGCAUAAAUGCCUGUGGAGAGAAAAUGAAUGUCAAGGUCUUAAGUCAAGACAUUUGUGGCAAACUAACUCAUCAUCCAAUCCAGAAAUGAAGUGCGCUCAUUCCUUGAGUAAACAGAAAGAAACUAUCAUGAUUUAUGAUUGUGUACCUCUAAGCAACACAGCCUGAUAAUUAAAAAUGAGCAGAGAGCUGUCUACGUUGUAUGAAGAUUUCCCUUUACUAAAUCAGAGCAUCAAGAGGUUAAAUGGAAACAUACACAUAUUAUCAUUUAAAGUACUGAGUAAGAUUGAAGAAAAACAUAUUUUACUGUUUUUUCUUUUCUUUUUUUUCAAUCUUGAUUUGUUCAUAGCUUCCUUGUCACCAUUUCUGAAUGUGAUCUUCAAUAUACAAGUUGUGAGUCAUCCUUCUUUCCUUAAUUUCCUUCUCUUGUCUUUGUUGUUCUAGUUCUUGUUACAAGAGUCAGGUCUUAGGGCCUAGCACACGUGUUCCUCCACCACAGCUGUACUUCCUCAAGUUACAUUUCCUUUCCAUGACACAGCCUGGUCAGAAAAUCAGUUCCAUAGAAACACUGCUGAAAAUAGGAUUAACAGGACAACGUAAGAGGUAAGAGGAAAACACUACAGAUACGGCACACACCCAUUAGAUAUAUUUCAUAGAAUCACAAGGUUGGAAAGGACCUACAAGAUCAUCUAGUCCAAACACCCUCCCAUUACCAUUGCUACCACAAGCCAGUAAACCGUAUCUUGUAGCUCCUCAUCCAGACGCCUCUUGAACACUACCAGUGACGGUGACUCCACCACCUCCCUGGACAGCCAUUCCAGUGCCUGACCACUCUCUGUGGGAAAAGGUUUAGAUUACGUCUAAUCUAAACCUCCUCUGGUACAACUUGUGGCCAUUUCCUCAAGUCCUGUUUGUUGCCUGGGAGAAGAGGCCAAACCCCUCCUCAUCGCAACCUCCCUUCAGGUUAGAGAGCAAUGAGGUCUCCCCUGAGCCUCCUCUUCUCCAGGCUGAACAAUCCCAGCUCCCUCAGCUGUUCCUCAUAAGGCCUGUACUCCAGUCCCCUCACCAGUUUCAUUGCCCUUCUCUGGACAUGUUCCAGGGCCUCAAUGUCUUUCUUGGAGUGAGGGGCCCAAAACCAAACACAAUACUCGAGGUGCGGCCUCACCAGUGCUGAGUACAGAGGGAUGAUCACCUCCCUGCUCCGGCUGGCCACGCUAUUUCUAAUGCAGGCCAGGAUGGUAGUGGCCCUCUUGGCCACUUGGGCACACAGUCAGCUCACGUUCAGUCGUGCAUCAACCAGCACCCCCAGGUCGCUUUCCUCUUCACAGUCCUCCAGCCACUCAGCCCCAAGCCUGUAGCAUUGCCUGGGGUUAUUGUGGCCAAAGUGCAGGACCCGACACUUGGCCUUGUUGAACCUCAUCCCAUUCAUCUCAGCCCAGCGAUCCAGCUUAUCUAGAUCCCUCUAGACUGAUCCCUCAGCAUGGGAUGCGAACAAGUUACUACACAGAAUCUAACACAGCUUGCCAUAUUUUUGCUAGUAUGUUCAAUGUCUAUGCAACUAGAAAUUUCACAUUAAACUUACAGACCGAUUUUAUGCUAAUCGUGCCCACUACAGUCUGUGAGGGAACUAGGUAACUGGGUUGUUAUAGUUCUAUCUUUAGAAAUAAAUUAGAAUUACUGCUUAUUUAGAAUAAUUUAAGAUGUCUGACUGUGCCUGUUCUAAGCACCCAUUAACAAACAGUGGCUUUUACUUGACUUCCCACUGCAUUAAGCAGCCCAUUUCAGUACACAAGGCAAAGCGGCUGAUCAGCUGGAGGUUGAAAAUAAAUAUUCAGGAAGCAGACAUAGAAACAGAAGUGUUAAAAUACAUCUGUCUUAUGCCGAGAUUCAUUUGUAAAUUCAUCUCAAGUGCUACACUAAGUCACAUCAAUGUGUUUUCAGGAUGGUUAGAACACAAUAUUAAGAGCACUGUUAAAUGGAGGGAGUUAUUUAGCAAUACUCAAGAGCAGAAUCUGGAAAGAUAGGUCUACAGAAGCAUCUUUAUGCUGCAACACUUGGAGUUUCCUCUCCAAAAGAGUGGUGAGGCAUUGGCACAGGCUGCACAGGGAGAAUGCUGAGUCACCAUCUCUGGAGGUGUUCAAGCAACCUUUAGAUAUGGUACUAAGGGACAUGGUUGAGUGGGGAAAUACUGGUGGUAGGUGGACAGUUCAUCUAGAAGAUCUUGGAGGUCUUUUCCAACCUUGGUGGUUCUAUGAUUGUACCACGUAACACUUAGAUCCCUUUAUAGCUAUGGGAUUCUGACUUACAUCCUCAAGAUUUCCGAACUGAUGUACAGAUGCUGUGUGACUGCUCAGAGACACAGGAGAGCUAGAAGUGAAGCCAGGCUGCCCAGUAGUCAAUGCUGGAGUAAUGUUAUCUGUCAAGUUCUGCUACUUGCUGCAAGGAGCAGCAGGGAAACACUUCCCUGCACGUAUAAGCCCUUUGGGUUUAUAAACCUGAAUACUCUCCCAAAGUGGAAUGACUCCAAAGGUAUUUAACUCCAAAAUUUACUCCAAUGGUAUUUAAGAGGCUGGUAAACCACCACUGCAAUCCCUUUUAAUUCAGUACCUUUGAAAUCUCUAAACACAGAGUUAUAGAAGUUCUAAAUAAAAGUCCAGUCUCUCAACAAGGGAUCAUCAACUCCCAGUUACUAAAAAGCAUCAUCCAGCAAGCUUUAGCAUGACCUGAACAGAGAGAUACAAUCAUCCAAUCUAUUUGGUUUUCAGAGCCCCUCUCUGCAUACAAGAGGCAUUCACUGAGCUGAAAGGGAAGGAAAAACAAAACAGAACAAAACAAAGCCCUGUAAGCCGCUAUUUGGGAAAGCUCACGUAUAAAUAAAACAACAGAUGUUUCUGUCUGUUUUGUGAAAGGCAGUAAUCGAAGAUCAGUCAUCCAUGCAUCAAACAAGUGCUCUCAGUCUGAUGACUGAACAGUGGUGUGACAGCACCUCAGUGCCCCCUCCGGAGCACUUUUGAAGAUGACUCCUGUAGGCAAAAAAAUGCUUAGGAUGUGCUGUUUGAGAUCUGAGUAACAAAACCACUCGGGAGUAUCUACAGUACUGCUACCUUCUGGAAUUAGGUGACUGAAGAAAUUCAAAGACAAAAACGAGGCAUGAAUGGGAUGCCAUGCAAAUUAAAGUCACAUGGAUGCAAAGAUAGGACUAUGCUUUACAGUUUGGCCCUGGCUGCCAAGGAAGUUCAGCAUUGGUUCACCAGCUAAAUCUUUCUACAGCCAUUGCCUCAAAACAACAAUAUUUCUUCUAUAGCAUCAGACUUUGCGGUUGAGCCAGGAAAGGUACUGACUGCAAAAGAUAACUGCAUUGAAAGCAAGUACUUUGUGGAAAUUAUAUUGUCAAUUACAAAAGCAACUAUGAUAACAGUAAGACUAGAAGAAGAGCUCACCUCUCCAAUGGCAUCAAGUUUUCUCAUGGUUCAGCUGUGGAGUAGGUACAAGACGUCUCUCUUUACAGGUCUUGUCUGUUUUAAAGCUGAUAUAUUUUAAUAGGAACUCUUCGGUUUCCCAAGCACUACAAUUUGUAACAAAAGAAGGAAGAAAGCAGCAGACCAAUCUGGUCCCACGCUAAGAAGAUGCCCUCCUGGCACCUAGGGGCCAGGAGCAGCCCCCAGCCCUGCCCUCGUGCUGGCAGCAUGGGGCACAACCCACGUCUCCCCUUCCAGGGUGCCCACCCAUCAUCUGUGGGGUGCCAGCAUGACAUGCAGGGUAAGUAAGGGGAAUUGCACAGACAGCACAGAAACACACACAGCUACAGCACCACAUCUCCAAAGGAGAGGCAUAUAAUGCAAAUAGAAGGAUGUGCAUUCCCAGACUGGUAAACCCUUGUAGCCACAACAGCCUGCUGAAAGGACAGAGGCAAACACGAGACUGCCAACUUACAUGAGACUGCUGGAGAAGAGCGUGUAGAUAGCUGAAGGUGUUUACUCACAUUUUGUAAGGCUUUAGUACAGCCAUUUAUCUGUUAUAUGGCCGCUGUUAAUCCUAAAUGUGCAGUUCACUGACUGAGGGUUAAUUACAAUCUAUUAAUAAAUCAACAAACCACUUUGAUCCUUAUUUGAUUUAAGCCAUGAGUCCUACUCCUCUAUAAGCACAUGCACAUCUCAGGGUUUUCUGCUUGACACUGAUACACAACCUUCAGCUAAAAAACACAACUUCUCAUUUCCUAUUUUAUUUUAUUCUCUCUCUCCUGAGAGCACUUAAGAUAUGCAGGAAAUCAACUGGCUAGCUAUACCUGUCAAACUUCCUUCAGUGCUGACAUUUAUCUCCCACAACAUCCUUCUCUCCAAAUCAGGAAGAUACAGAUUUGUUGGGUGGACUGUUCAGUGGAUGAGGAACUUGCAAGAUCAUACCCAGAGAGUGGCGGUCAAUGGCUCAAUGUCCAGAUUGAGACCAAUGGUGUCCCUUAAGUGCCAGUACGGGGGUGUGGUGCUCUUGAACAUCUUCAUCAGUGGCACUGACAGUGGGAUUGAGUGCGCCCUCAGCAGUUCACAGACAACACCGAGCUGUGUGGUGCAGUCAGCACGGCCCGGGGAUAGGAUGCCAUCACAGAGACCUCGGCAGGCUGAGCAGCGGGCCCAGGAGAACCUCGUGAGGCUCAACAAAGCCAAGUGCAAGCUCUGCCCCUGGGUUGUGGCAGCCCAAACUAUCGGUUCAAGAUGAGGAUAUAAAGAUGGAGCACAGCCCUGCUGAAAAAGACCUGGGUGUACUCAUGGAUGGCACCUGGACAUGAGCCAGCACUGUGCCCUCACAGCCCAGAGAGCCAACCACAUCCUGGGCUGCAUCCAAAGCAUUGUGGCCAGCAGGGUGAGGGAGGGGAUCUGCCCCUCUGCUCUGUGCUGUGAGACCUCACCUGGAGCACUGCGUCCAGAUGGGGAGUGCUCAGUACAGGAGAGACAUGGAGCUGUUGGAGAGCGUCCAGAGGAGGGCCACAGGAAUGAGCCCAGGGAUGGAACACCUCCCUGUGAGGACAGGCUGAGAGCUGGGCUGUGCAGCCUGCAGAAGGGAAGGCUCCAAGAGUCCUGAGAGCAGAUUUCCAGUAUCUGAAGGGGGGUAUGAGAAAGAAGAGGACAGACUCUAUAACAGGGACCAUGUGAUAGGACAAGAGGAAAUGGUUUCAAGCCAAAAGAGAGGAGAUUUUGAUUGGAUAUAAGGAAAGAGCUUUUUAAACAAGCAUGGUGAGGCAGUGGCACAGGCUGCCCAGAGAGGCAGUGGUGCCCCAUCCCUGCAGACAGCCAAGGUCAGGCUGAACUGGGCUCUGAGCACUGAUGGAGCUGUGGGUGUCCCUGUUCAGUGCACAGGGUUGGACUGGAAGAGACCCUUAAAGGCCAUCCAACCCACAUGAUUCUAUGAUUCCAAUCAAAGUACUGAAAUAUCCACACCCCCCACAUUAACAGUUUCCUAAUCUGGUCCAAAAUAGAUCUUUUAAUUAAGAGUGACUAUUAAAUUCCUGGAUUUGACAAAUUAAAAUUUAGGUCUAAUGCUUAUGCUAGCUUCCCUAAUGUAACUUUGGAACAAGAUGUUCUAAUGGAAUUAUACCCAUUAGAUCAGAUCUUUGCAUCAGGAUAUUCUAAGGAAAAUACAUCUGAAAGAUUGCUGGCUUCUCCUCCCUCCUCCACAGCUGAAAAAGCAAGCUGAAACCUAACUUCUAGAAAACAUUGAAAAAUAUCUUUUUUAUUUUAAAGCUGGUUUAAAAAAAAAAAGAUUUUUUUUUUAUGGUUCAGUUCUUAACUUCUGCUGAUGACAUUUUCAUUAGUUAGAGGUAAUCAGGGAUGAUUUCCCAUGCUUAAAACUCAAAUUCGCAGUCUUCUGAAAGCAUAGGGGCUACAAAACAUAGGGUCUUAUUAUCAACCCCACACCCUAAGUAGCCUGGGCUAAAAGAAGAUAUUGACUAAUCUUGUAAUCAAAGACACUGAAAAAAACUUGAUCCUUGAUGACCAAUGACUGACCUCAGAUCCUGUCAGCCUGUGACCCUCACAUAGUAAUAAUCCAUUUAGAAUUGUAUUUACACUUAAUAUUUAUUUUAUUUUGCACUCUUGGCUUAUGAUUGCUCAAAAUCAUUCUUUCCCCAAAUUCACUUUCCUUUCUUCCGCAGUCAGGAGAAAAAACAUUCCCUAUGAUGCAUAAAGAUUUUUAAAACCACCUAUGCUUGCAGGACACAGCAUAUCACCCUCGCAACUACUUCUUAGAAGUUACUUAUUUUGCAAAACCUGGAUUCUUAAACAAGCACUUAAAGCUUAAAAUAACUCCCCAGACUAACAGCUGGCAACUACACUCUUCAUUACAAUAUCAAGAAGAGAAUAGUCAUAAAGCUGAAAAAAAUUAGAGAGCCUUACAUGAAAAAAAAAAUCUAUUCAUAAUUAACUUUUUUCAAAGGGAUUGAUCUGAGUGCCAUACAAAGAAAGUGAUUAGGAGAAACCAGACCAGCCAAUAACUCCCAAGAAGAGGAAAAAAAAACCUGCAGUUACAGUGGUGGAGUUGGUUCUCAUAAUAUACUUAUUUUGUAGAUGCUUGCAAUUUUAAACGUUUGCAACUCACUGAUGGUUACAUCGUGCAGAUUUUAAUGCCAUGUUCACACCAAUGUUCUUAUCCUCUACAACAUGAAAGUCACCACCUAUUCUGUAUUAGGAUUUAAAGUCGGCAAGCAGCCAUGAUGCUCACUGAUCUUCCCCCCCCCCCCCCCCCCACUUAAUUUUGAAUAGCUGGAGGAAGCAUUACUGAUUACCUUAUGUGCCAAUCUAUUAGGUGUUCAAUGCUCAUGCAAUCUUCAGCUCCUGAGUGCCAGUAACUUGUUCGCCCUGCUCACAUACCAAUUCAAAAGUCAAGAAAUAAAAAGGAAACGCACAUCACAAUGAAAACCUGUAUGUUCAUUACAUUCAUAUAGCAUGGUGAUUCAUUUCAAAGUUUACCAAACCAAAAAUUGUUUACAAAACACCAUUGGUCAGGGAAACAAACACCUUACCUGUCAGUUGCGUGCUCCCUAAUUCCGGUUAGCAUCGCUCCAAUUAAUAUGUUUAUUAAUCCCUACUUCUGUUCCCAGCCUUUUUCCACAUUAAUUACCCAUACUUUUUUUCUUCCAAGUGCUACAAAGAAAACCGUCCCUCCAUUCCUCUCUAUCCAGAAGAUACCUUCUCCUGUUACUAAAUCACAUUCAUGCCUUUCUGUUUACAUAUUCCACCUAUGGAAUGGGGAACUAAAGAAGAGGAUAUCUACUCUAGGAUAAAUCCUUUCCUUCUACCCCAAGUGCACCACAGAAGCACAGUAGGAGCCCAUCUCCAAUUAACAUUUAUCCAGCACAUUCCCACCUCCUCACUGCCUUAACACAUCUGAGUCACCAGUUGAAGUGACUGGAAAUUAACCUGCUGAAGCAAAAAUGCACAAAGCCGCACAGUUAUUUUACAUGCAUUUCUAUAGCAGCUCACAUGUGGGAAACUGAAGAGCUCCUCUUAGAAUACAUAAACUUUAUCUAAAAGACAGAACCUGGAAAGAGAGGCAUUAUUUUGUAUCAAGUCCACGGAUGGUCUAUGAGAAAACUUAAUACCUUUGGAGAAACAAGCUCUUCGAGUCUUCAUUUUAAGGGCUGUAAAGGUUAUAAGAUGACUUGUACUCUAUCUCGCUUUUUCCAGGAGUACUACCAUUCUCUAAAGGAAAAUGAAAGAUGAGCUCCUCCCCCUUGAACUGUUAUGGAUUAGGCUUGUCAAGAAGAUGGUUUCCCUCCUUACCAUGCUAUUUUAUACUUUCUCACUCAUUUCUUUCAGCCAAAACCUGGAACAGAACACCUCCUUCUCCCCCAACUCUUAAAUUAAGUCCUCUAGUCAGCUGAAUACUGCGUAGAUUGCUUCUUUCAAAAAGCAUUUUUGUAAUUUUGAGAACUGAACACUGGCUAAGCAGCAGGUGGUAACUUUAGCAUCUGCAUUUGUCUUUGAAUCGUAGCUCAAUAAACGCUGACAAAAUAGUAAGGCUUCUGCCUACCUUGUCUACUUGGCCUGUGCACACCAUCCUGUCAAACUCCACCUGCUGGAUAAUGUCCUCAUGGCAGGCCAAGAGAAGCUUUCUCUUACACUUCUGUUAAUACAACAGCUGAAACAAUGAUAUAUCUGUUUUAAUGAUACACUUACAUACUUUUCAUGCUUUUCCCUCCUACCACUCCCUACCAGUUCUACAAUCAAGUGAAAUCAUCGAGUAAAUUACUUCUUAACAUAAUUCCCUUAGUUAACUUAAUUCUCAUGAUAACAGGCCAUACUCGUAACUAAGAUCAAUUCCUAAAAAUAGUUAUAUACAGGAAAAGUUACAGCCCCAUGCAAUAGGUAUGGAGGUAGAAAAUUAACUUCAUGAUUUUCAGCCCCUAAAAAACAGAAAAGCAGAAAGUUUGGAAACGUGAUUUAACUUACCUUUAAGCACAACAACAUACAACUGGUAUAAAAGUUCCUCGCAAUUCCAAAAGAGCACCAAUUCCAGAGAAUGCCACUGGUAAGCUCAUUAGUUUGAAGGGCACAAGUCUAUUUGUGUGCUAGCUGACUUUUCUGCUUGCUACUUCUUUCAGUAAACUUCAGUCAAAUCAUGACACAUUCUGUUAAAGGUGGAAUGAAGCCUCAGCCUUCUCUGUGGCUACCCUAUCCUACUUCACGUUCAGAAACAAUUAUUUUUGUAUUUGCAAGCGGAAGGAGAAUUGAAUUUGUCUGUUGCAGGUAUGAAGUAUGAACUAAAUAUAUUUCUACAGGACUUAUUUAAUCACUUCCUUUUACACAAGUCAAACAUUCAACUUUCAGAUGUUAACUGACCGUAUCUUUUUAACCAUUAUUUCCAACAGACAGAAACCAUAUUAAGUCGGUCAGAACUGUGUAUUCAACAAUAUUCUCUUAUAGUAUGACUUGAAUUUAUUUGUCAGCAAGUAGUGUUGUUUAUUAUGACCUACCAUCCCUCAGGAAUACUUUGAAAAUACAGGGUGAUGCAUGUUCAAGACUUGCAAAUCAUACCUGGAGCAGUCUGUCCUACUGAAACACUGAAAGAGGCUUUACAUUUGAGAAUAGCACUUUAAUCAAACUGGGAGAGCAUGUACUACUUAGAAUACUGCUAACAGUACUUCUCUAGAAAAAGAAAUGAAUGCUAUUUUACACAACUGAUGUAGCACAGGCAUUCACAUUCCUUGCUGUGUGCAGAUUAUAGUUUCAAAGUGUUGUAACAAAAUAGUAGAAGUGGAGACUAUCUGCACUGGCAGUUUAAUAAGAGCUUCAAGAUAGCUUUUAGUACUGAUGAAGGACUAUUUUGCUCCUCUU
ensembl:lncRNA